rnacentral:rRNA from 1 species
CCGAGCGGCGGACGGCUGAGUAACACGUUAGUAACUGCCCCAAACUCAGGAAUAACUCCGCUAAAGCGGAGCUAAUACCGGAUAGUCCCGAAAGGGUAAAGAUUUAUCGGUUUGGGAGGUGCUUGCGGCCUAUCAGCUAGUUGGUAGGGUAAUGGCCUACCAAGGCAAUUGACGGGUAGCUGGCCUGAGAGGGUGGUCAGCCACAUGGGGACUGAGACACCGCCCCAACUCCUACGGGAGGCUGCAGUCGAGGAUAUUUAGCAAUGGGCGAAAGCCUGACUAUGCGACGCCGCGUGAGGGAUGAAGGUCUUCGGAUCGUAAACCUCUUUCAAUGGGGAAGAAACUCCCGAAUUAAUACCUCGGGACUGACGCUACCCAGAGAAGAAGCCACGGCCA